ACUUUCGAAACCUCCCACUCAGUAUCGGAUGAAUAACACAGUUUGAUGUUUUGCUUGUUCUGCUGACGGACACGUUAAAGACGUCUGCGCUCCCGUUUCUGUGCAUGUCCAGCAUGAGACAACUGGAAUUCAACCACAUUGAACACCGACUUCAGGGACAGACGAGCCUGAAGGACACAGCUGUGAUGACCAUGUUCUGUCUCUUAUGGCAAAGCAGAAAUAUAAAACACUGGGUUCUUAUCUAAAGUGUAUCAAAUCAGAUCUCCACCAUGUUGCUGCUGAGGACAUCAGGUGCUGCAGUUCUUCAUCUAUGAAGAGAAAAAACGCACUGUUAAAGAAUGUUUUGUGUUGUGUAUAAAGCACAACAGAUUUCUGAUAGAACUGUUGUACUGUGGUCUUGGUUUAUAUCCUCAUGGUGAAAUGUACAUAUUUUAAGUCCCUUCUGAUAAAAGUGCUGAAAGAAAUACAACAUUGUACAAAUACAUAAAAUGUCUUUCUACCUCAUCAGUACUAUUCAAGGUGAUAAUCUCCCACAGACCUAUUGAUAACAGUCCAAAUCAAGUCUUUCCACUUCUCUCAGUGUGAAAACAUAAUUCUAUAAUUAAUUUGAGAACUGUUUACAACACUGAUGUGUGGAGAUUAAAAUCAUACCUAAACUGUCUAAUUCACUGUAAAACUCCAUGACAUUCGCAGGCCAUCUGUAGUUAAGGGAGCAACGCAUGGAAUGAUGUGUAGAUUACUAGUUUGAUGAUGCAUGAGGAGAGGCGGUGGUCGAGUGGCAGAAACUUGGACUAUGGGCAGAGAAGGUCUCUGGUUCGUCUUUGGUUCGACUCCAUGGAGAGACAACAAAAGUCGAACCUGGAUUGAUCUGUCCAAAAAUCCAAGAGUCUCCCUACCCUCUCUAGUGCCCAUGAGCAAGGCACCUCACUCCCCCAACAUCUGCUCCCCCGAGCGCCGUACAUGGUCGCUCACUGCUCUGUGUGUCCUGCACCAGAUGGGUAAAAAGCAGCGAUUAAAUUUCCCUACCUGCAUGAGUGUGCCUUUGCAUGUCUGUGCAUGUGUUUGGGAUGAAUAAAUGGAUUUUAAUCUUAA